rnacentral:lncRNA from 1 species
UUUUUUUUUUUGGUUUUGUUUUUUCAGGUCUAUGAGUCUUGGAGAGAGACGGACUUCUCAACUCAGUGGUGCUAUGAAAACUACAUUCAGGUAUGAUUUUGGAGACGGCUCCAUCGUUUAUUUUUCCGAGGGCUUUCCUUUUAUGCGAUGAACUUGCUCUUUAUGUCUUCAUCGUUCUUUAUUGUUUGCGCUGGAUUAGUUCUGAGGAGACAGAGUGACAGGGUAGUAGCCCACCAGGCCGCUCUUACUUCUGAUAGAUCUAGAAACGGGUGGCCGUCGUUUUCUUCCUUUGUUUAUUUAUAGAGAGAGAAGAAAGUCAACUGAAAAGAUUUUUUUUUUUUUCUGGGGAAAUGACCCGAAGUCAUCUGCUCCAUUAACAUCGAGAUAGAUAGAUCUUAUUUUACUGGGAUCGAAGACAAUCUCUUAUCGUCCGAUCUUCAGGUGCGUAGCAUGAAACGUGCCCGGGAUAUUAGGGACCAGCUCGAGGGGCUCUUGGAGAGGGUGGAGAUUGAACGGACUGCUAAUCCCAACGAGCCAGAUGCAGUGAAGAAGGCCAUAACGUCAGGUAGGCGUCCCCAUCCCCGCGUGCCCAGCCGCCGUCGUUUCUUAUGAACCCUAACAGAACUUCUCUGCCCCCCUCAGGUUUUUUCUAUCACACGGCCAAGUUGCAGAAGACGGGGGCCUACCGAACUGUUAAAAACCCACAAACUGUUCACAUCCAUCCAAGCUCCGGUCUCGCACAGGUGAUCCAUCAUCCUCAUGGGGCGUCACCCUCACCCUCAGCAUCGCGCCAGCGCUUGUCAGAGCCCCUUUUUAAUGAAAUUUAUUCUGAUCUCCAGGUUCUACCCAGAUGGGUCGUCUACCACGAGAUGGUUCUUACGACCAAAGAGUACAUGCGGCAGGUGAGUCCAUGGAGCAUCAUCCUAUGAUCUGAAUGUAGUUUUCAGGUGUGAGGUCUGGGAUAGGCCUGAUGCUCAGCUGAAACGUUGCAGGUGACGGAGAUCAAGCCCGACUGGCUGGUAGAGAUCGCUCCACACUACUAUCAGAUGAAGGACGUUGACGACGGUGAGUUCUCCUCCGAGUUGUGACGAUCUUAGCAGCUCGAUUCCUGUUCGUUGCUCCGAGUAAUGACCGGCGCCGUCUUGUGGGCAGAUGGGUCGAAGAAAAUGCCUCGCGGGCAGGGGCGAGCUGCAGCCGGCCAGGCUCUGUAGAGGAGGUAGCUGACAGUUGACUGACCUCAAGGGAAGCUGUACAUAAAAUGUGUAUUAUUUUCCGAGCAAUGAGCGUUCGUCAGGGGAAGCCCCCUUCCUCAGGUUUUUUUGCUGCAUCUUGCUCUCGUGGUCUUGCCUAUCAUGCUUGUUCGGCGGAGACUGUCGAUUAUUUUUUUAGUCACUGACAUGUGGUAUAAAUUUUCGGGAAUAAAUUAUUGCGAUUUAUGCGGUAUCUGAUCCCCACGAUCCGCGUUGACCCACAAGAAUGAUUAUUUCCAUUUAUAGGUGUCUGUCACGUUGUCGGGCGUCGGUUGCUGGCAACACCAGCUGUGAGUGGUUCCGUUAUUUAGUCCCGUUUCAUUCGGUCUCCGUAUAGAUGAACCUAGAUGUAAAAUCCAAGCUUGGGAGGCCGGGAUUUUUAUAUAUUUGGUCUCGGACAAUGUGCUCAAAAGAUAAUGUCAGCGCCAAUUUUUUUUACUGAAUUCGGAAAGGAUGAUUGGAGGAAGGGAAGCGAUCCAGAGUUCGUACACAUUUCAAGCAUUUUCAGGCGACAAGAGGAUCGACCCACUUAUUCAAAUCAUGCAACAGAGAAUACUAGAGUCCGUUCUUCGUCUGAUCACAGAGAAGCGAUGGCUGCGGCGGACAGCACCAAUCCCAUCAAGCAGCGACCGGCGGAGCCCGAGGCGGCGGCGCCGCUCUUCUGUGGGCUCGGAGCUGCUGCGCCUCCCGGCUUGGCCCCCGCCGGGGGGGCGGAGGAAGGAGAGCCGGGGGGGGCCGCCGGAGCGGCGGAUGGAGACCCGGAGGGGGCGGCGGGGGAGAGCUUCUGGAUGUUGAUGUCCACCUUCUGGCCCGCAUCGCAGUGGCCGGGGAUGCCGCAGAGGAAGUACUGGUGGCCGGAGCUCUUGAGGACGAUGGAGUCGUUGCCGGUGGUGUAGGUGGCGAUGGGCGAGGCGGCGCUGCACUGGCCGAAGUCCGCCUUGCUCACCUCCAGCACAUUGUGGAAUCUCGUGUUGUACGUGAAUACUGUAGCAAAUAAUCCGUUAAAAAACCCAUUUUUAGAGAGACAGUUGAUAUUUUUCUCCCCGCCGUCAUGCGUACGAGUGGGACGCGGUGGGAAGGGCAAGUGGCGCAUGUCAGCGGUUGGGGGAGUCAACCUACCGUCGAACUAAAUCCCACCGCACCGACGUAGAUGAUCAGAGGAUCCGAGAUUAUAAAUACGGAAAGAUCGUCAAUAGAAAAUCAGGAAUCCGUUCUGUAUCAGGUUUAUGCGAUACACCCGCGAUCAGAUCCAAGAAAGCGGCGAACUUUUUUCCAGAUUCAAAAGUUUUCUCGUUCCCAACGUUGAUCAGAGGAAAGCCGGUUGGAGCUUGAUCGAAAUGGGGAGAGGGAGGGGCGGCGGGGGAGGGCGUACCAAUGGUGUCGCCGACGCGGAAGGUCCUGGAGGCCGCCCAGGCGGCGUAGUCGACGUUCCCGAUGAUGGUCCAUCCGGCGGCGUCCCCGACCUUGUGCACCGUCGCCGCCGACGGCGCCGCCACCCCCAACAGGGCCACAGACAAGAAGAAGAACAGGGGUGGGGAGAACGACCCAAUUAUGCACCUCCUCUUCCCUGGCACCGCACCGCCGGCGGCGGUAACAGAGAUCGCCAUUGCGGAAGCGAGAAACGAAGAUCGGAGUGGAGGAAGAGAGGAGGAGACGCAGGAGAAAAGGAGAGAGAAAAGCUGCCUCUUGCCGCUUUUACUCCCACCGUCUUGGGGUUCAAGACUCGACCAGACUUCUUAUAGCGGUCCUCCGUAACCGGUCCCCUUGCUCAGUCACGUUUCCUUCCUCCCCUCUCUCUCUCUCUCUCUCUCUCUCUCUCUCCUGCUACGCGUGCCUCUAUCUCCGCCCCUCUAUAGAAAUAUAUAUAGCUGGGGGCAAGACUCAGGCCGCUACGGACCAGUACCCGAAGCUUCUCUGAUAAAGGAAGAAUCUGGGUUUCCAUCUCGACUGUCAUUUUCCAUCUCCUCUGCCACCUGCGAGAGACUGGUAUUCCAUCGGAAUACAAGCAGUUGUUGACGUGUCAGAGAACCAUGAAUCCCGACCAACUCCAAGCGUUCCGACCAAAACGUUGUAGGGUAGAGAGAGAGAGAGAGAGAGAGAGAGAGAGGCAUGCAAGUGUCGGGAGAGAGAAAUUCCAGUCUGAUUAUUUCAGAGGCCCUGUCGCAGAAGACAUCCUCUGCUAAACAUAGAUGGUUAUAUCAUCACCGACACCUAAUCUUCCGCCGAACUCACCCCCACUCCGAGCUGCACCGCCCGGUGGGAGCUCGAACCCGAGAGCCGAACCCAGAAGGGCUUCUCGCAGGUCGGGUUCGAUGGGAUCUGUGAUCA